CCUACGGGAGGCAGCAGUGGGGAAUUGUUCGCAAUGGGCGCAAGCCUGACGACGCAACGCCGCGUGGAGGAUGAAGAUCUUCGGGUCGUAAACUCCUUUCGAUCGAGACGAAUUCCUCCGGGGUGAACAAUCCCGGGGGGUGACGGUACCGAGAGAAGAAGCCCCGGCUAACUCCGUGCCAGCAGCCGCGGUAAUACGGGGGGGGCAAGCGUUGUUCGGAAUUACUGGGCGUAAAGGGCUCGUAGGCGGCCAACUAAGUCAAACGUGAAAUCCCUCGGCUUAACCGGGGAACUGCGUCUGAUACUGGAUGGCUCGAGUUUGGGAGAGGGAUGCGGAAUUCCAGGUGUAGCGGUGAAAUGCGUAGAUAUCUGGAGGAACACCGGUGGCGAAGGCGGCAUCCUGGACCAACACUGACGCUGAGGAGCGAAAGCCAGGGGAGC
rnacentral:rRNA from 1 species